rnacentral:ncRNA from 2 species
CCGUCCGAGGGGCGCUGCGACCGCCGUGUGGUGUCCCCCGCAAGGGCUGGGCCGGCACGGCGGCCAGGCUCGGACGGCAUCGCAUGCAACAACGGCGCCCGGCGAAC